AACAAGGUAGGCCUACUCAUGAUGGAGAUAAGCUCGGUAGGUUCCUGGCUGGUGUCUUUAACGGUAUAAAAUUAUUUCUAUUUUGUCUUUUUGCCUUUUGUUCUCCUUCAUUGUGCAUUAGUAAUUAACUUUCCUGUUAUGACUUGCCACAUAUUUUUAUCCCAUUAUUUUCAACCUUCCUGUAUCAUUUUGUUUCAGAUGUGCUGGUGACUGUGUUGGUAUUUGCUGUCCUGAUAUUUUACAAAUGGCCUCUUUGAAUCCCUCCGGAAAUGGAUCCUUUGAGGGUUGAGCAAGGAAACAUGAAUCAGGCUGAGACAUACAAGAAACUGCUGCGAGAAAAACAGUGAAGAGUUAGACCAAACUCCAGAUAAAGAAUUCUAACAGAAAAAACGUUGGCUGCUGAGCAGAUGACAAGUUACCAAAGACUCCUCCAAGUAGGCAAGGAUGCUUGUGAAAGAGACACUGUGAGACCAGAGCCCAAUGCAGAUACAAAGACUCAAGGACAGAAUUAAACACUGAAAGGAAUGAAGGUUGUAUCUGAAGCAGCAGAACUCAGGCUCAACAUCCAGGUUACUGAUGCUCCUUCAAGAAGACUAAUCAAAUGGAACCAAAGUUUUAAUCCCACAGCAUAAAAAUGCAUGACAUGUCCCCAGGAAAAGGGCUACAAAUAGACUGAGCCAAACUAAGACAUGUCCUAGGAAAUGGUUUCCAUUAUUGUACAGCUAAACCCAGUACUGGGAGAAUCAUGUUUAAAGAUAGCAGUAUAACAAACUCUGGCUCCAGGAAGUUCUACUUAGCACUUUUCUUUCUGUACUAAAAAAAAAAAAAAAAAAAAAAAAAAAAAAAAAUUGUUUUUUUACAGGAUAUAAUUCCAGUGACAAUUUUUGAAAAAAAAGUUCUAAAACCCAAACAGAACACUAAAAAACAUCAAAGCCAGACAACAAAUAAUACUACCACAUGGAGAAUUAUAAAGUACGCUCCCAAACUUUCUGGGGCCUGAGAGGGACUCAGCCUUAACUGUAGAUUAUCUACACAUUUAUCCUAACAAAAAUACCAGGUAUGGAAUACCUAUGGUCUAUAGCUAAAAGAGUGCCUUGGAGAGAAUUUCAGCCUUGAAUACAUAUAUUAAUCAAUAGGAAAUAAUGAAGAAAUGUGAGUUCUGGGUCAAGGAGGGAGGCAGUGGGAACCCAACCAAAAAAAGAGAGGGAAAUGCCACAAUGAGAAACAAAAAAGGAACUACAAUGAACGGACAAUUGUCCUUGAUUCAGCUUCUCCUGUGUGCCAUGUGAGGAGGGUUCUGGCCUCCUUCAGCCACUGCUCAAAGGCUGGCCCAGCCAGGGACAUCCACAUGGCAUGGUAACCACAUCUGUCCCAUGUUAAGGACAGCAGCCUUCCUCUCGAGGUCCUGGCACUCAGAGCUCUAAGGGAGAUGCUAGCAUAAGGCUUAGCUUACUUAUUCAGGUUAAACCUGAACUCUGGCUACAGACGCAUGAGGUUGUAUGAACUCAAGCCCAAAGCCAUCUUCGUACCCAGUACUGGAUGACCCAGGUAUUUGUUAGGAUAACAACAAGGCUGUUAGUCAACACUGAUUUGGAAGUAGCAGCUGCCAGGAGGAGAAAAGAGAAAGGAGAUAGAAAAAGAAAAAAAUGAUCACUUUGCAGAGGAUACGAUGGCACACCUGAUAAAAAUCAAAGGAAACCAACCAGAAUAAUUAUUACCAACAAAAGGAAAAUUUAGUAAGGUGGCUGUGAAGAAAAUUAAUCCUGAAACAACCCCCAGCAAGGGACUACAAUAGAAAAAAAAAAAAACAAUUUCGUUUACAAGGAAGAUAAAUACAAGUUCCUUCAGGACAUCAAACCUAAAAGCCUCUUUGGGGACUCAAUUUGCUUCUGGCCAAGGGCAGGUCUUUUGCUAGCUCCC